rnacentral:rRNA from 1 species
UACGUAGGGUGCAAGCGUUGUCCGGAAUUAUUGGGCGUAAAGAGCUCGUAGGCGGUCUGUCGCGUCGGCUGUGAAAUCCCGAGGCUCAACCUCGGGUCUGCAGUCGAUACGGGCAAACUAGAGUAUUGCAGGGGAGACUGGAAUUCCUGGUGUAGCGGUGAAAUGCGCAGAUAUCAGGAGGAACACCGGUGGCGAAGGCGGGUUGCUGGGCUGACACUGACGCUGAGGCGCGAAAGCCAGGGGAGCGAACGGG